CUACGUGCCAGCAGCCGCGGUAAUACGGAAGGUCCGGGCGUUAUCCGGAUUUAUUGGGUUUAAAGGGAGCGUAGGCUGGAGAUUAGGUGUGUUGUGAAAUGUAGACGCUCAACGUCUGACUUGCAGCGCAUACUGGUUUCCUUGAGUACGCACAACGUUGGCGGAAUUCGUCGUGUAGCGGUGAAAUGCUUAGAUAUGACGAAGAACUCCGAUUGCGAAGGCAGCUGACGGGAGCGCAACUGACGCUGAAGCUCGAAGGUGCGGGUAUCGAACAGGAUUAGAUACCCUGGUAGUCCGCACAGUAAACGAUGGAUGCCCGCUGUUGGUACUUGGUAUCAGCGGCUAAGCGAAAGCAUUAAGCAUCCCACCUGGGGAGUACGCCGGCAACGGUGAAACUCAAAGGAAUUGACGGGGGCCCGCACAAGCGGAGGAACAUGUGGUUUAAUUCGAUGAUACGCGAGGAACCUUACCCGGGCUUGAAUUGCAGAGGAAUUAUUUAGAGAUA
rnacentral:rRNA from 1 species